UACGUAGGGGCCAAGCGUUGUCCGGAUUUAUUGGGCGUAAGGAGCUCGUAGGUGGUUCGGUAAGUCGGGUGUUAAACCCCCAGGCUCAACCUGGGGACGCCACUCGAUACUGCUGUGACUAGAGUCCGGUAGGGGAGCGUGGAAUUCCUGGUGUAGCGGUGAAAUGCGCAGAUAUCAGGAGGAACACCAGCGGCGAAGGCGGCGCUCUGGGCCGGUACUGACACUGAGGAGCGAAAGCGUGGGUAGCAAACGGG
rnacentral:rRNA from 1 species